rnacentral:rRNA from 1 species
UACAGAGGUCUCAAGCGUUGUUCGGAUUUAUUGGGCGUAAAGAGCUCGUAGGCGGCUUGUCGCGUCGACUGUGAAAACCCGCGGCUCAACCGUGUGGCGGGCAGUUGAUACGGGCAGGCUAGAGUUCGGUAGGGGAGACUGGAAUUCCUGGUGUAGCGGUGAAAUGCGCAGAUAUCAGGAGGAACACCGGUGGCGAAGGCGGGUCUCUGGGCCGAUACUGACGCUGAGGAGCGAAAGCGUGGGGAGCGAACAGG